rnacentral:rRNA from 1 species
UACAGAGGGGGCAAGCGUUGUUCGGAAUUACUGGGCGUAAAGGGCGCGUAGGCGGCCUGUUAAGUCGAACGUGAAAUCCCCGGGCUCAACCCGGGAACUGCGUCCGAUACUGGCAGGCUCGAAUCCGGGAGAGGGAUGCGGAAUUCCAGGUGUAGCGGUGAAAUGCGUAGAUAUCUGGAGGAACACCGGUGGCGAAGGCGGCUUCCUGGACCGGCAUUGACGCUGAGGCGCGAAAGCCAGGGGAGCAAACGGG